rnacentral:rRNA from 1 species
ACGGGAGGCAGCAGUGAGGAAUAUUGGUCAAUGGGCGGAAGCCUGAACCAGCCAUGCCGCGUGAAGGAUUGAGGCCCUAUGGGUCGUAAACUUCUUUAGCUGUGGAGCAAUAAGGGCUAUGCAUAGCCUGAUGAGAGUACACAGAGAAUAAGGAUCGGCUAACUCCGUGCCAGCAGCCGCGGUAAUACGGAGGAUCCGAGCGUUAUCCGGAUUUAUUGGGUUUAAAGGGUGCGCAGGCGGCGUUUUAAGUCAGUGGUAAAAUCGUGGGGCCCAACCCCAUCCUGCCAUUGAUACUGGAGCGCUUGAUUGCGGUCGAGGUUUGCGGAAUUCGUCGUGUAGCGGUGAAAUGCAUAGAUAUGACGAAGAACACCGAUUGCGUAGGCAGCAGACCAGUCCGUAAAUGACGCUCAUGCACGAAAGUGCGGGGAUCGAACAGGAUUAGAUACCCUGGUA